CGACAACAUGGAUGCAUGAAGUCUGCUCUGUCAUGGAGGAUGCAAUUUGUAUCUCAAGAUUGCAUAGAUGUGGUGUCACUUUUGUAGGGAAGACAAAUUUGCAUGAACUGGACAUGGGAACGGCUGGAAACAAUCCAAACUAUUGUAGAAACGUUUCCAGUUUAACCAUUGCGAAGGUAUCUUGAUUGCUGAAUUUAUCCGAUAUGCUUUUGCACCAUGGGUUUCUUUUGGGAGAUAAAUACAAAUCAUAUUGAUUUAUAUCUGUGACAUAAUUUGCUAUACUAUCUGACUCCGAUCCUUAUGUACUAAGUUUAAUUGGAUAAUUGUUGGGUGAAGAGCAACAAGAAAUCCUCAUACACCAGAAAGGUAUACAGGCGGAUCUUCCUCAGCCUCAGCAGCAAUUGUAGCUUCUGGAAUAUGCCCUGCAGCGCUUGGAACAGAUGGUAGAGGUUCAGUGCGUAUACCUUCUUCCCUUUGUGGGGCAGUGUGCUUGAAGACAACAUUUGGAUGCACUGAUAUGGAAGGGUCAUUAUGUUCUGGUACUCUAGAAAUUAUUGGAACAAGUGCAUCGACUGUGGAGGAUAUAAUGCUAGUGCAAGAAAAUCAUGCUUGUAAUCGGCAAUCGUGUGCUCCUCUCUUGCGGAUAGAAUUAGUUUGAAACCGGUAUUUUUUGAAAACCUUACACCAUUGAGUACUCGCCAAGAAACUUUGAAAAAAACUGCAUUAUCAAGAUAUUACUUCUAUAAUGUGACCUUGUUGGCCACAAGAACGGAACAAAAGAAAAGUACAUGAAGAAAGAUAAUUGCAUUUACAGAAUAUAUGAGUAAUUAUCUGAUAUUCUGAUUUAGGAUUUAAUGACUCUAUAAUGUUGAUAAUUAUCCUCAUUUAAAUCUAGUCAUGCAUGGAAAUAGAUUUAUUUGGAAUUUUGUCCAGCUUUUAAUCCAUAAUAAUUAAUUAAUUAAUUUGUCUCUUCUCGCCUAUGUGCCAAAGCAAUCAUUGUUCACCUUUUGUAGGUCCCAUCUUGUGCUCCAAAUUUAUCUUUGACAAUUCAAACAUUUUGGGAUCCAUGCGACUGAAAGGAAGUAUUCAGCUGUAAUAGCCACUUCUUAGGGAAGUAGAUUAAACUCAAAUUUGUCUUACAUAUCAACUGACAUGUUUUAUAAAAGCAUAAACUUAUAUUCUCAUUCUCCUGCAGUGGUUUAAUGAUGUAUAUUCAACUGAUAUUUCUGAAAAAUGUGAGGAUGUUGUUGAUCUUUUGUCAAAAACCCAUUGUUGUGAAGUAUAAGUCUUGUUAUUAUCAUAUUCUUCAUGUAUUGUAAAUCCAUCAUUGUUUAUAA